CACGUAGGGGCCAAGCGUUGUCCGGAAUUAUUGGGCGUAAAGAGCUCGUAGGCGGUUUGUCGCGUCUGCCGUGAAAGUCCGGGGCUCAACUCCGGAUCUGCGGUGGGUACGGGCAGACUAGAGUGAUGUAGGGGAGACUGGAAUUCCUGGUGUAGCGGUGAAAUGCGCAGAUAUCAGGAGGAACACCGAUGGCGAAGGCAGGUCUCUGGGCAUUAACUGACGCUGAGGAGCGAAAGCAUGGGGAGCGAACAGG
rnacentral:rRNA from 1 species